rnacentral:rRNA from 1 species
GCGUCUUAAGCAUGCAAGUCAAACGGGAUGUAGCAAUACAUCUAGUGGCGAACGGGUGAGUAACGCGUGGAUGAUCUACCUACGAGAUGGGGAUAACUAUUAGAAAUAGUAGCUAAUACCGAAUAAAGUCAAUUAAUUUGUUAAUUGAUGAAAGGAAGCCUUUAAAGCUUCGCUUGUAGAUGAGUCUGCGUCUUAUUAGUUAGUUGGUAGGGUAAAUGCCUACCAAGGCGAUGAUAAGUAACCGGCCUGAGAGGGUGAACGGUCACACUGGAACUGAGAUACGGUCCAGACUCCUACGGGAGGCAGCAGCUAAGAAUCUUCCGCAAUGGGCGAAAGCCUGACGGAGCGACACUGCGUGAAUGAAGAAGGUCGAAAGAUUGUAAAAUUCUUUUAUAAAUGAGGAAUAAGCUUUGUAGGAAAUGACGAAGUGAUGACGUUAAUUUAUGAAUAAGCCCCGGCUAAUUACGUGCCAGCAGCCGCGGUAAUACGUAAGGGGCGAGCGUUGUUCGGGAUUAUUGGGCGUAAAGGGUGAGUAGGCGGAUAUAUAAGUCUAUGCAUAAAAUACCACAGCUCAACUGUGGAGCUAUGUUGGAAACUAUAUGUCUAGAGUCUGAUAGAGGAAGUUAGAAUUUCUGGUGUAAGGGUGGAAUCUGUUGAUAUCAGAAAGAAUACCGGAGGCGAAGGCGAACUUCUGGGUCAAGACUGACGCUGAGUCACGAAAGCGUAGGGAGCAAACAGGAUUAGAUACCCUGGUAGUCUACGCUGUAAACGAUGCACACUUGGUGUUAACUAAAAGUUAGUACCGAAGCUAACGUG